UCUUAUCAAGAGAGGUUGAGGGUCUGGCCCUAUGAUGCCUCAGCAACCAUCAAAGCGUCCAUAUUUUGCUUUGAAAAGGUGCUAAUUCCAGCAAGUUUUGUGAAAAACUUGACAGAUAAGA
rnacentral:ncRNA from 1 species